rnacentral:lncRNA from 1 species
AGACCCCCAAUUUGAAGUUAAUUACAAACCUUGAAGUGAGUUAGUUUUCUUGAUUGGUUUAUCAAUUUAAUUCAUUUGUUUUUUCUUUCUUUCUUUCUUUCUUUUUGUUAGUUAUUUAUUUUUAGCCAUUUUAAUCUAUUUUACGAUCCAUCGUAAUAUAGGAAUUAACUAUUACUACUUAGACUUAGUAUUGUAAAAAGUAUUUUCA